rnacentral:rRNA from 1 species
UUUUUUUGUGGAGAGUUUGAUCCUGGCUCAGGACGAACGCUGGCGGCGUGCUUAACACAUGCAAGUCGAACGGAAAGGCCUGCAGCUUGCUGCGGGUACUCGAGUGGCGAACGGGUGAGUAACACGUGGGUGAUCUGCCUUGCACUUCGGGAUAAGCUUGGGAAACUGGGUCUAAUACCGGAUAGGACAGCUGUUUAGUGUCAGUUGUGGAAAGUUUUUUCGGUGCAAGAUGAGCUCGCGGCCUAUCAGCUUGUUGGUGGGGUAAUGGCCUACCAAGGCGUCGACGGGUAGCCGGCCUGAGAGGGUGUACGGCCACAUUGGGACUGAGAUACGGCCCAGACUCCUACGGGAGGCAGCAGUGGGGAAUAUUGCACAAUGGGCGGAAGCCUGAUGCAGCGACGCCGCGUGGGGGAUGAAGGCCUUCGGGUUGUAAACUCCUUUCGACAGGGACGAAGCUUUUGUGACGGUACCUGUAUAAGAAGCACCGGCUAACUACGUGCCAGCAGCCGCGGUAAUACGUAGGGUGCGAGCGUUGUCCGGAAUUACUGGGCGUAAAGAGCUCGUAGGUGGUUUGUCGCGUCGUCUGUGAAAUUCCGGGGCUUAACUCCGGGCGUGCAGGCGAUACGGGCUGACUUGAGUGCUGUAGGGGAGACUGGAAUUCCUGGUGUAGCGGUGAAAUGCGCAGAUAUCAGGAGGAACACCGAUGGCGAAGGCAGGUCUCUGGGCAGUAACUGACGCUGAGGAGCGAAAGCAUGGGUAGCGAACAGGAUUAGAUACCCUGGUAGUCCAUGCCGUAAACGGUGGGCGCUAGGUGUAGGGGGCUUCCACGUCUUCUG